UAGCCGUAAACGAUACUCGCUAGGUGUCGGCCACGGUGCGACCGUUGUCGGUGCCGUAGGGAAGCCGUGAAGCGAGCCACCUGGGAAGUACGGCCGCAAGGCUGAAACUUAAAGGAAUUGGCGGGGGAGGCACAACAACGGGUGGGAGCUUGCGGUUUAAUUUGGAUUCAACGCCGGAAAUCUUACCGGGACCGACAGCAACAUGAAGGCCAAGCUGAAGACUUUGCCGGAUUAGCUGAGAGGUGGUGCAUGGCGUGUGACUGU
rnacentral:rRNA from 1 species